GUGCCAGCAGCCGCGGUAAUACGGAGGGUGCGAGCGUUGUCCGGAAUCACUGGGCGUAAAGGGCGCGUAGGCGGCUUGGCAAGGGGGCGGUGAAAGCCCGGGGCUCAACCCCGGGUCAGCCGAACCGACUGCUAGGCUAGAGCAUGCUAGGGGUUGGUGGAAUUCCGGGUGUAGCGGUGGAAUGCGUAGAGAUCCGGAAGAACACCGGUGGCGAAGGCGGCCAACUGGGGCAUGUCUGACGCUGAUGCGCGACAGCGUGGGGAGCAAACAGGAUUAGAUACCCUGGUAGUCC
rnacentral:rRNA from 1 species